CCCUUAGAUGUUCUGGGCCGCACGCGCGCUACACUGAUGCAUUCAACGAGUCUAAAACCUGGUCUGAUAGGGCUGGGUAAUCUUAUGAAUGUGCAUCGUGAUUGGGAUAGAUGAUUGCAAUUCUUCAUCUUCAACGAGGAAUGCCUAGUAAACGCAAGUCAUCAGCUUGCAUUGAUUACGUCCCUGCCCUUUGUACACACCGCCCGUCGCUCCUACCGAUUGAAUGUUCCGAUGAAUACCAUGGACUGAGAGUAUGAAUGGGUUCGCCUAUUUCUGCUUCUCGGGAAGUGGAGUAAAUCUUAACAUUUAGAGGAAGGAGAAGUCGUAACA
rnacentral:rRNA from 1 species